rnacentral:rRNA from 1 species
UACGUAGGGGGCAAGCGUUGUCCGGAAUCAUUGGGCGUAAAGAGCGCGUAGGCGGCCCUGUAAGUCCGCUGUGAAAUCCCUCGGCUUAACCGAGGACGUGCGGAAGAAACUGCAAGGCUCGAGUCCGGAAGAGGGGGGCGGAAUUCCCAGUGUAGCGGUGAAAUGCGUAGAUAUUGGGAGGAACACCAGUGGCGAAGGCGGUCCCCUGGGCCGGAACUGACGCUGAGGCGCGAAAGCGUGGGUAGCAAACGGG